CUAAGCGCCAGAACUGCGGUGCAGCCGGUAUCGCAGUUGACGAGGAAAGGGUUAAUCGAAAGUAUUCGGCGGGUGCCCUUCGGUCACAAGUGGGUUGAUCGUCAGCAGGCUGUUAAAACAUACGGGCGACCGUAUCGACAGAGCAGUUA
rnacentral:ncRNA from 1 species